GAGGACAACACUGUCUGUUUAGGCAGGUUUAUAGAGGACAACACUGUCUGUUUAGGCAGGUUUAUAGAGGACAACACUGUCUGUUUAGGCAGGUUUAUAGAGGACAACACUGUCUGUUUAGGCAGGUUUAUAGAGGACAACACUGUCUGUUUAGGCAGGUUUAUAGAGGACAACACUGUCUGUUUAGGCAGGUUUAUAGAGGACAACACUGUCUGUUUAGGCAGGUUUAUAGAGGACAACACUGUUGAGGCAGGUUUAUAGAGGACAACACUGUUGAGGCAGGUUUAUAGAGGACAACACUGUUGAGGCAGGUUUAUAGAGGACAACACUGUCUGUUGAGGCAGGUUUAUAGAGGACAACACUGUUUCGGCAGGUUUAUA